rnacentral:misc_RNA from 1 species
AAAUGCGAUAAGUAAUGUGAAUUGCAGAAUUCAGUGAAUCAUCGAAUCUUUGAACGCACCUUGCGCUCCUUGGUAUUCCUUGGAGCAUGCCUGUUUGAGUAUCAUGAAAUCUUCAAAGUAAAUCUUUUGUUAACUCAAUUGGUUUCUACUUUGGUAUUGGAGGUCUUUGCAGCUUCACACCUGCUCCUCUUUGUUCAUUAGCUGGAUCUCAGUGUUAUGCUUGGUUCCACUCGGCGUGAUAAGUUAUCUAUCGCUGAGGACACUGUAAAAGGUGGCCAAGGUAAAUGCAGAUGAACCGCUUCUAAUAGUCCAUUGACUUGGACAAUACUUUUAUGAUCUGAUCUCAAAUCAGGUAGGACUACCCGCUGAACUUAAUC